rnacentral:rRNA from 2 species
AAUGGGUCAGCGACUUAUAUUCUGUAGCAAGGUUAACCGAAUAGGGGAGCCGGAGGGAAACCGAGUCUUAAUUGGGCGUUAAGUUGCAGGGUAUAGACCCGAAACCCGGUGAUCUAGCCAUGGGCAGGUUGAAGGUUGGGUAACACUAACUGGAGGACCGAACCGACUAAUGUUGAAAAAUUAGCGGAUGACCUGUGGCUGGGGGUGAAAGGCCAAUCAAACCGGGAGAUAGCUGGUUCUCCCCGAAAGCUAUUUAGGUAGCGCCUCGUGAAUUCAUCUCCGGGGGUAGAGCACUGUUUCGGCUAGGGGGCCAUCCCGGCUUACCAACCCGAUGCAAACUGCGAAUACCGGAGAAUGUUAUCACGGGAGACACACGGCGGGUGCUAACGUCCGUCGUGAAGAGGGAAACAACCCAGACCGCCAGCUAAGGUCCCAAAGUCAUGGUUAAGUGGGAAACGAUGUGGGAAGGCCCAGACAGCCAGGAUGUUGGCUUAGAAGCAGCCAUCAUUUAAAGAAAGCGUAAUAGCUCACUGGUCGAGUCGGCCUGCGCGGAAGAUGUAACGGGGCUAAACCAUGCACCGAAGCUGCGGCAGCGACGCUUAUGCGUUGUUGGGUAGGGGAGCGUUCUGUAAGCCUGCGAAGGUGGCCUGUGAGGGUUGCUGGAGGUAUCAGAAGUGCGAAUGCUGACAUAAGUAACGAUAAAGCGGGUGAAAAGCCCGCUCGCCGGAAGACCAAGGGUUCCUGUCCAACGUUAAUCGGGGCAGGGUGAGUCGACCCCUAAGGCGAGGCCGAAAGGCGUAGUCGAUGGGAAACGGGUUAAUAUUCCCGUACUUGGUGUUACUGCGAAGGGGGGACGGAGAAGGCUAUGUUGGCCGGGCGACGGUUGUCCCGGUUUAAGCGUGUAGGCUGGUUUUCCAGGCAAAUCCGGAAAAUCAAGGCUGAGGCGUGAUGACGAGGCACUACGGUGCUGAAGCAACAAAUGCCCUGCUUCCAGGAAAAGCCUCUAAGCAUCAGGUAACAUCAAAUCGUACCCCAAACCGACACAGGUGGUCAGGUAGAGAAUACCAAGGCGCUUGAGAGAACUCGGGUGAAGGAACUAGGCAAAAUGGUGCCGUAACUUCGGGAGAAGGCACGCUGACACGUAGGUGAAGUGAUUUACUCACGGAGCUGAAGUCAGUCGAAGAUACCAGCUGGCUGCAACUGUUUAUUAAAAACACAGCACUGUGCAAACACGAAAGUGGACGUAUACGGUGUGACGCCUGCCCGGUGCCGGAAGGUUAAUUGAUGGGGUCAGCGCAAGCGAAGCUCCUGAUCGAAGCCCCGGUAAACGGCGGCCGUAACUAUAACGGUCCUAAGGUAGCGAAAUUCCUUGUCGGGUAAGUUCCGACCUGCACGAAUGGCGUAAUGAUGGCCAGGCUGUCUCCACCCGAGACUCAGUGAAAUUGAACUCGCUGUGAAGAUGCAGUGUACCCGCGGCAAGACGGAAAGACCCCGUGAACCUUUACUAUAGCUUGACACUGAACAUUGAGCCUUGAUGUGUAG